rnacentral:rRNA from 1 species
UACAGAGGGUGCGAGCGUUGUCCGGAAUCACUGGGCGUAAAGGGCGCGUAGGCGGUUCGUACAGUCAGACGUGAAAUUCCCGGGCUCAACCUGGGGGCUGCGUUUGAUACGUGCGGGCUUGAGUUCGGAAGAGGGUCGUGGAAUUCCCAGUGUAGAGGUGAAAUUCGUAGAUAUUGGGAAGAACACCGGUGGCGAAGGCGGCGACCUGGUCCGAUACUGACGCUGAGGCGCGAAAGCGUGGGGAGCAAACAGG